UCCGAGUUGUCCCCGGCAGUCCUCUUAGAGUCCCCGGCAUUACCCGCCGGCAACUAAGAGCAGGGGUUGCGCUCGUUGCGGCACUUAAGCCAACACCUCACGGCACGAGCUGACGACAGCCAUGCAGCACCUGUGCUAGCCCCUUACGGACACGGGCUUUCACCCGCUUUAACUAGCAUGUCAAACCCAGGUAAGGUGGGGAUGACGUAUGGAAUGUCGAUA
rnacentral:misc_RNA from 1 species